UUUUGGAUUUUUGAGGAAAACGCUGCUGAUGUUUUCAUUGUUGCUGAACAGUGCUUACACAGAGUCAAGAAUUCUUCUGCUCCUUGUGCUGCUCUGCCAGUGUGGAGCUGAGGGGGUACAAGGAGCUGAGAGGGGACACAGCCAGGGCCACUGACCCACACUAAACAAAGGGAUGUCUCAUACCAUAAGGCAUCAUGCUCAGCAAUAAAAGAGGAAUGGGAAGACAUUUGGAGAGAUGGUGUUUGUCUUCCCAAGAAACCAUUACACAUAAUGGGCCUUGCCUUGCAGGGAGUGGCUGACCACCUGCCUGGGGAUGAAGACCUCAGACCUUAUGUAUGCUCAUUCCCAAUGACCAACAUCCAUUUUCGCCUUUACUUGACAUCCACCUGGAUCUCAAGGAGUCACAUCUUUGAUGUACAUAUACAGUCACUUAACUAAGAGGAGCCUACAGCAUCUUACUAACUACAACUCAAGCUGCAUUCUAGAGGAUCUUACAUAAGCAACUCUACACACCUACAUCUUUUCUCAAAAUGAACGUGACUAAACUUAUCUUUGUGGCUUAACUUUGCCUGCUGACUAUUGCUAUGCCAGUCAUGUUUGGCAAAAAACCGAGCAUGACAACAUGCAUGGUCAUCUGUAAGAAAAUGUUCCAGUUUGUCCACAUUUCUGUUCUCCAUUACAUGCAAGACAGAAGAAUCUGUGAAUCUCAUGGCUGCUAAAACAGAAAAACUGCAGGUCCAGACAUUGGACAGGCUGAGCAUAUGUUCAAGAGAAGAGUUUCAUAGUGUAAUUUACCAGCAUAAUAACAACAGCGAAGCGCUGAGUCAGAAAAGUUAGGCUGUGUGCCAGCCCACAUGACCGUUGACUAUUCAGCACUGAG
ensembl:lncRNA